AGCACAGAGCGCUAUGGGGAUACAAUAGGUACGAGGUCCUCCGAGGUAUGUGGAAAGGGGUAAUGGUUCCAGGACUUACUUUUGGAAAUGCGGUUGUUUGCUAUAAAUGAGGGGUACCAUCAGGACUCGACGGGAACCAAAGGUCAGUGGGUCGCCUCGCAAUGGGCGCUCACGGGAAGACCAAAUGAAGCUGAUAAAAGAAAUGAAGCUGUGCAGGGUACGUGAUAUGGGCUGGACUAGUUUUCAAGUGAGGGAAGCUCGCAGUAAAAUUGAGUAUGAAGAACGGCUGAGGAAUAUGGAAAAAAGCAAAUGGGCUGGGAGAGUGUUCAGGUAUCUGUACAGGAAAAACAUUGAUUCACAGUGGAGGAAAAGAACUAGGAAGCUUACCAGCAAGUAUGGGGCCUGUAGAGUGGGCAACACAGCAACAAAGAAGGUCAAGCGGAAAGUCAGAGAGGCUGAAUUAAUCUCAUGGGUGGCGGCAAUGGAAAAGAAACCUGCCAUGAGUAACUACUUAAGAGGAAAAAACGAAAUCAGGAAAGAAACCAUUUAUAAUACUCAAAGGGAAGCUCAUUACUUUUCGAAGCGAGAUCGGGAUGCCUUAGAACACGCACCUAUAAAGCGAGAUAUAAGAAGGAAGAAGAAGCAUGUGCUUGCUGCGGUAAGGCUAGGGAAACGACGGAGUAUGUUUUAUUAGAAUGUGAAGACGUCUAUACCCAGCGGUCGAUUUAGGCACCACUGGCCUCCUUGAAGCCCUUGGGUUCAGAGGGAGCAGUGGUAAAGCAAACAUGUCCGCAAUAGACAUUAGUAACAGGCGAUUGGAGGAUUGGUGGAAGAAAAGUAGGGAAACGACAAAAGACGGAGACGUAGAAAAGCGCAGUUGGCAAUAGGGGAUCAGAAAAUUUGGGCGUGUUAGUUCAUAGUCUUCUUUUUUUUUUUUUUUCAAUGUUUAACCUAAGUAGGAUAUAAGGCAGUAUAGUAGCAAGAGCUUGGUGGCGCAAACCACCGCCCCGUUCCAAAGGGGACGCUCAUAAUAUCCUUCCAUCCAUCUAUUUUAACCUACAAACUUUCUUUAACAACAAACGAAGCGUUUUUAUUACAUGACAAAGAGUACAAAAUUAUCAUUCCUAAUUUUAAAUUGUACUCUUUAUUACCAACUUUAUUGUUUUUUGCCAUUUUAAACGCAAAAUAGCGUUCAGCAUCAUCGACCUCCCACGUGACCUCUAGCUUGGAUUUAAAUUUUUUACCGGAAUGUUCGCGUGCACGGCAGGUACAGAUUCUUUGGUUCGUACAUCGGUUGGUUAUUUUGUGCUAAAACCAGUUUAUUGCGCUUCGAUAUCUCGCGUUAUUUAACUUGGGGUGCAAGCCCGAAAGCUAGGUUUCAGUCGUGAGACAUGUGGAACACGUCUGCAUCGAAAUGGGAUCCGGGUCCUGCUGCGACUGGGGACAGCAAUACCGACAUGCAGUAAUGAAGACGGCACUACUAUAAAGCAACACACUCCAUGCACUAAACAGAAGCUGCUGCCUGUCAAAACAAGGUUAUUGUGUAGACUUCGGCUGCUACUACAAGAGUCUGUGCCAAGUACAUUUUGGUCAUCACGGGAGUCCCCCAUCUACACCAACAGGAAGGGGCUGGAGCAGAAUUCGCAAGACCACGAACAAAGAAGCCAUUCCAGAAUUAUUUGGAUGAGAUAUCAAGUCUACGCACGACUGUUUGAAGAGUGAAAAGAGCAUCUGCCAUCAUUCCACCAGCACGGAUAUUGGCAGAGUCAUACAGGUACCUCAACAACAAAAAUUCUGUCUUCAGAUGUACCUGCAACCUGUGAACAAGCACAGACGACGCUGACCAAGAGUGUUCCGUCAGCUUGCCCUUCCUUAUGAACUUGCCAGAAUCCAGCAUCAACAAGUUUAUAGACCAAAUAAAGCGUCAUGACACUACCCUG